CCUACGGGUGGCAGCAGUGAGGAAUAUUGGUCCAUGGGCGCGAGCCUGAACCAGCCAAGUCGCGUGAGGGAAGACGGUCCUAUGGAUUGUAAACCUCUUUUGUCGGGGAGCAAAAGACGCCACGUGUGGCGUUCCGAGAGUACCCUCAGAACAAGCCUCGGCUAACUCCGUACCAGCAGCCGCGGUAAUACGGAGGAUGCUAGCGUUAUCCGGAAUUACUGGGUGUAAAGGGCGUGCAGCCGGGAAGACAAGUCAGAUGUGAAAUCCCGCGGCUCAAACGCGGAACUGCAUUUGAAACUGUUGUUCUUGAGUACCGGAGAGGUCAUCGGAAUUGCUGGUGUAGCGGUGAAAUGCGUAGAUAUAAGGAAGAACACCAGUGGCGAAGGCGGAUGACUGGACGGCAACUGACGGUGAGGCGCGAAAGCGUGGGGAGCAAACAGGAUUAGAUACCCCGGUAGUC
rnacentral:rRNA from 1 species